AUUGAACGCUGGCGGCAUGCUUUACACAUGCAAGUCGAACGGUAACAGGCCGCAAGGUGCUGACGAGUGGCGAACGGGUGAGUAAUGCAUCGGAACGUGCCCAGUCGUGGGGGAUAACGCAGCGAAAGCUGCGCUAAUACCGCAUACGAUCUAUGGAUGAAAGCGUGGGACCGUAAGGCCUCGCGCGAUUGGAGCGGCCGAUGUCAGAUUAGGUAGUUGGUGGGGUAAAGGCUCACCAAGCCAACGAUCUGUAGCUGGUCUGAGAGGACGACCAGCCACACUGGGACUGAGACACGGCCCAGACUCCUACGGGAGGCAGCAGUGGGGAAUUUUGGACAAUGGGCGCAAGCCUGAUCCAGCCAUGCCGCGUGUCUGAAGAAGGCCCUCGGGUUGUAAAGGACUUUUGUCCGGGAGCAAAUGCUGGUGGCUAACAUCCACCGGAGCUGAGAGUACCGGAAGAAUAAGCACCGGCUAACUACGUGCCAGCAGCCGCCGUAACAC
rnacentral:rRNA from 1 species